GACCAAGGCGGAGGGAGGAGGUCUAGGGGCAAGAGGGCUCGCGCAGGUACCGGUACAGCGCCCUCAUUGAUGCUGGUGGUCGGAAAGGAGUAGCGCGGUUCUGUAGGUCCUCGAAGCGGCAGCAGCAGAGGAAACUGAUGUAGGUAGACAAGCUCGGCCCUGAAGCAGUUCGAAGUCCUAGCUCGGAAGAGGGGCAGCCUGUGGCAGCGGUAGAGCAGCGACAGGGCGCUCGAGACCAGGUUGAGGGCGGAGGGGCUGGAGCGGAUGUACGAGCGUUGGGGUUCUGGCUACAACUACGGGGACACUAGCUGAUGCAGCUGCUGCUGGGACGAAGAACAGACUCGUUGGUCUACCACCUAGGAACCUCGGUCUACGGUGGCGGCUUCCUAUGAUGAUGCACUUCUAGCAGCUGCUGGUCCUCAUCAAUCCUCCAGGGUCAGUCCUCCGGAACGGAGAAGCUAGCACAAUGAAAACACGAUCGGAAGAAUUCCGUUUGAACAAAUUGAAUACAGACAUGAGUCUAUAACAACGAAGGCGACUGAGAACACAUAGCUCGAAAACAUAAGCUCGGGAGCUCCGGGGACCGAACAUUAUAUUUCGAACAUAAUAAAAUAAACACAGAUCUCAACACAACACUACAGAAAGGCACUCAGGGGC
rnacentral:rRNA from 1 species